GGAGAGCAGGAAUGGCAGGAGAGCGGUGAGAGACCUCCGUCCCAGUGAGGAUGACAUGUUCUAACUCAGGAAAUGAAUAGAUGCUCUUGCGAUUGAAGAAAAAUCUACGCUGGAGGCAGACAGGCUGGCAGCCAGCUCUUGCUGAUGGUGAGGAGCCUCAUUAUCUUAAGACAACACACAGUGGAGAUGUGCUUUACGUAAUUGGCCUGCCCUGUGAAAACCCCUGGCUGUUUUUUCAGAUAAGGAGACUGAAGCAUCUAGAGUUGGAGUAAUUUCCACAAGAUCACAGGUUAGUAUGAAAGAGGCAAGAUUUCACUCUGUCACCCAGACUGGAGUGCAGUGGCACAAACAUAGCUCACUGAAGCCUCAAACUCCUGGGCUCAAGAGAUCCUUCUGCUUCAGCCUCCUGAGUAGCUGGGACUUCAGAUGCUGUCUCUGAAUUUGAGUCGGAGUUUCCUGACCCUUUGCAAGCUGCAUUUUAGAAUCAGAGGUCAAGGCCCAGCUCAGAAUAAAUUUCAGAAGCUUUCCCUGUCUCCCUCUGCUCACUGCCCUCUCCAUCCAAGCAGAAAGAACCUGCCUGUCUUCUGUGAUCUGCUGCCAUUGCACACACCCCUGUGACGUUCUCCUAUUGCCUCAUUAGAUGUUUACACCUGUGCCUCCCCCAGAAUCCCAGUCCUCUCUCUCUCACUGACCCCGAAGAUAAGCAUUGGAAAGGGGAGCUUUGGGGAAAUGAAUCUGCCCUGUCAUCUGCGUAUAGAGCUAAUCUUAAAUCCCAACUGCCAAAUGGAUCCUGAGGUGUCAGAAACUCUCCCGAGAUAAGGGGGCUUCUAGCAACCAUCUGCAUUCUGGACCCAG
ensembl:lncRNA LINC00970 long intergenic non-protein coding RNA 970